CAGGUUUUGUAGCAGGAACUAGGGUUAUGGUUUCUGUUGGUUAUUGAAAGAUGAGAAAAAGUACAAAUAUUUCAUAUUUAUGCAAAUUUAUAGAAAUUUUGUUGAGAUACUUUGUUUGUAAUUUUAUGGGUAUGAAGUACGGAGAUGAGGGAGUCGCAUAUGUUUGGCAAUUGGAAGGGAAGGGGAUUAGGGAUUCUGUUUCUGAUGAUGUGCUACAACCGGCCUUUGCCAUUGCAGGUGCGCUUGCAUGGCAGGCCACUCAAAAUUUAAUAAAAGGGAAGAAGAGGUUUUUUGUUUUUGAGGGGAGAAAUUCUCCGGGAUUUUUGAACCGGAUUCUCCCCUCUGGUGUGUGGUGUUCAUGUGUGCCAUGCUGUUUUUUUUUUUUGGUUGCUAAAUCUAUUUGUGUUUGAUUUAACUCGCCUUUGAUCAAAUUCACCAGCCACAACAUAAACAGACAACAAAAUCUGCACUCAAAAGAUAUGAAUGAAUAAGCAAGGCUCUCAAUAUGUUGAAAAAGGUACAGUUUUGUCCAACUUUUUUAUAAGCCAAUUAAUUUGCAUAUCCUGAUGCUCAUAAAUUUUAGGAUCUUUGAUAUUAUAUUUCCUCCUUCACCUAUUGAGUAACUUACUUUCUUAGAUUACGAUUUAAAAAUUUUGUAUAAAAAUUGUGCAAGCCAGUGAUCAAGUACAUCAUAUUGAAUAAGUACCAAUAGAACAAGUACCUUGAAAGAGUUCCAUUUUGCACCCUGUCAUUCUCUUAAUUAUGAACUAUCUAAUUUGCACCGGUUCAGAGAUGGGCAAGGUUGCUGCUCUAAACCUCGUAAGCAUGGUCUCUAAAUAGGUAAAGCUAAAAAUGUAACAUGUCUUACAGCGCAGCUGGAUAUGAAUCAUAUCCGGGUAAUUCAACAUAUUAUAGACCAACAACACGGUAUACUGUCAUUACUCCCUCUAUUCCCAUUUGUGAAAAUUGCAAACUUAAUGGUUUUUAGGUGAUCUUUAGGCUUUAUAUUUUUCUUCAAUGUUUAACCUACAUAUAAUGAUUGUUUAGUUUAGUGGUGAUGUCAUUAUAAUGAAAUUGUGAUGUUAUUAAACUUGAGGACUUGUUGUCAUUUUAUACCAUCAUUAAUAAAUGUGAGACUUUUUAUGUGGAACAAAAAAUAAUUGGCAAAUGAGAUCUUUUGUAUUGAAAAGUUGGAGCAAGUUACAACAAUGACACUGAGCAAAAUUAACAACAGAUCUAUUAUGAUAACAUCGUUUAUUUACAAAUUACAACGGAAUGACUCACAGUGUCCUGUAAUAUGUCUCCAGUAACAUUUGGUUAGUUUUUGAGUUAAUUAAUUUUGUUUUGCAAUAUCAUUUAAUAAACUGACAUGAAAAUCUCAAUAAUCAAUAUUGUGAUACAUGUGAUAUUUUUCUGAAGAAGGGAAUGUAUGUGAUGAUCUAUUGUGAUCAUUAUAUUAUUACUUUUAGCUUUUAGUAAUUGAUAUUUGGAACUGUUGGCGACUUGUAAAAAGCCUAUUUGUUUUUUGUUCUUGUUUCUCCCUUAAUGGUGUUCAAUUCAAAAGAUUGGUUGGGCUUAAGCCAAUAGGCACUCAUAGGAGAUUGAAGGCGCUUGUAAGGAUAAAGUUCUUUUGUCUCUCAAUUGGGAACUAUAUUAGGAGGAGGAUUUUGAAGUGAUUGUUCCUACAGGUGUCAUGCAUUAUGUGUUGAAAAUGAUCUGUGAAACAAAGGUGACUAUUUCACACAUUUGAUGUCCAAUUGAACCCUGCUCAGAAGAUUUUGAAGCAGGUGAUUGUUUCUUCAUGUGUUGAAAGGUGACCAUUUCACAUUUUGCUAUCCAAUUGAACUCUGCUGGUGUUGUUAGUUUUUAACGUUGAAAAUACAAGGCUCAUGGUUAAACUUUCUUUGAUUUGAAGCUGGAUGAAAGUUUAGUUGAGCAGCGGUAUUGUAUAGUUUUAAUUUGUUAUACAUGAUUAACUUUUAACUUUGUUGUAAAUUGUUUUUAAUUCUGAUAAGACUUUUGCAAAUUUUUAAUACACAUCCAUCACUGUAAUUCAUUGAUAGGGUUUUGCACUUUAGCGCUUUACCAAUUGGUUUUGAUCUAUACAAUAGAGUGCUUAAAGUCUUCUGUUUAUUUAAACUUGGUGUGUAGAUUCUAUUUCUUGCCUGCUUAAUUUCUUAUUAUUCCGAGUAACCCUAUUUAUUUACGCUGUCAUAAUAUUAUUCAAUUUUUUUCUUUUGUACGUAGUAUAUUUAUAUUAUUGUUAGGAUGUUUUGUGUGUGUGUGUGUGUGUAUAUAUAUAUAUAUGAUGAUUUCCAGAUUAAAUCUUUCUCAGCAUGAAAAUUUGUUUCUAACAUGGUUCUCAGAAGUCCACUAUUUUCACCAAAUCUGUGAGAAGGACUGAAAGAGUGAGAUUUGUAAACCUGAUUUACAGAUUGGCAGCCAUCAGUAUAUUUGCAUGUUGGAGAGUAUAACCAGCUGUAGGUGCUGGCAAUUGAAAAAUAAUGUUGAGCGACAUAACUUAAAACAUUACCUAUCCUUCGCUAUUUUUCAAGAUCCAUAGGCUUAGAAUGGCAAGAGCACUCAGACCUUGAUCUGAGAGGUUGGUGGUUCAAAUCCACCUGGAUCUAAUUAUAAUAAUGUUGGUUUUUGGAUUGAAUAUCUUAAAUUCUAUUUUAGUUCAUUUUAAGUAGCAUUCAUGGUUUUGUAAUGUAAAGCUUCUUUAUGAUUGCAACUAUAUAUAUAUAUAUAUAUAUAUAUAUAUAUUCUUUGCAUGUUCUAAAAAAGAGCAUCCGUAUUUACUAGGGGAUAAGAGGAUACUUAUGUUGUUGAUAGCCAAGUAAUUAAUACCUACAGGAAGAAAAAACAAAUAAGUAUUGAUGGAAUUAAUUGUGGAGUUGGUGUUUCAAGUUUUGUUUAUGCGAUGGUAUCAUCUCUUCAUCUUUUCUUGUAUUUAUCUUAUGUGUAAAAUGGCCUCAGCUAAUUAUUUGCUUACACAACAAAGUAUUUUCCAUAGAAGAUUUGAAAUGUAGGCACAGCUGAGUUCUCAUGUAGGUCUAUUUAUAUUUUGUCAAUUAGAAGUAUGGAUGGCAGUUUACUGAGUGCCAAAGGUCUACAGUUUUGGAUGCCAAAGGCCAGAAUCAGAAUUUGAAGGUGAAUGGUUCCCAUUCUUUCCCCCUCAUACCCCCACCAGGAUCAGGUUGACUUUCCCCUUUUAAGGUUUAAUUGUGGAUAGCAAAAUCCAAAUCGUCGAGGUGAAUGUCCCUGGUGCCCACCCCUUCCUACAGUACUCUGAUGUAAUCUAGAUUUUGUAAUGAGGUGUCUUCUAAAUUCUUAUAUGGAACUUCCUACACUACUAGAAGAAUGUUACUUUGAUCUAUUCUAGAUUUUGUAAUGAGGUGUCUUCUAAAUUCUUAUAUGGAACUAAAGAAUUGUUUAUGUGUUUUUUUAAUACUAUGGAAAGUAGCUGCUCUGUUACAUUUACAGGCACAUGUUUUAAUAGCUUGAGAUUCUGAGAUACAAUUGGUUGCAACUCAUUAAAAUAUAUAUAUAUAUAUAUAUUUAUAUUUUUCACUUCAAAAACUAGUGCUUUAUUUUGUUUUUGGCUGUCCAUAUGUUUGUAGUGCGAACUAAAUGAAUGAUUUUGAAUUUUAUUUUGAUUGCCAAAAAUAUGACACGUUAAUGUCAGUAAUAUAAACAAAAAAAAGUAUUAAUAUAUUAUCGUUAGGUGUGUGAGAGUAGUUUUUUCUUGUUAUGUCUUAUGCUGAGAAAACUGAAAAAGAGGUCAUAAAGCUGGAAUGUGCAAGAGUUUGACAUCUUUCCUUUUAGAGUUGCAGAUUAUUUGCAUAAAGAUUAUACUGUUUAGACAUGUCUUACAUUAUGCAGGCAUGAUAUUCUGUAUUUAUUUGUGUCAGGGUAGAAGAUAUUGAGCAUUAGAAGAGGAAUUCUACUUGAUUGAGGAUGUUCAGGAAUCCGUGAGCACUAUCCGAUGCCAGAUAACACUUGCUUCCCAUAUUUUGAAAUAUUUUCAAUUUUUUGUUUUAAUGAACUUGUUUCAUUAUAAAUGCACGUCUCUUUAGGCCUUUGUUGAAUGUGUUGUUUUCUGAGCUUUUCAGCAGCAGCAGCCAGCCUAACAACUGUGGUUUGGCAUCCCACAUGCUUCUUUUCUCAGCAAGUCCAUGCAAGUGCUACCCUAAUCGCUUGCUUGACAACACCCUAAACUGAUCCCAGUAAUUUUCCUUAUUUUUCUUUCUAUUUGGGUAGCUUACAACUUUUUUAUAUAUAUAUUUGGCCUAAUCUGUAUAUAUAUUAUGGAACAUGAAGCUACAUAUUAUUUUAUAAUAAUAAUAAUAAUAAAAUGAGUUAAUUAACGGGUUAAAGAUGGUUGGAAUAUUUUUACAACUGUACUAAUAUUUAUUAUUAUUUUGUGUAAUUAGUUCGAAAUUUAAUUAGUUCGUUUUGUUACUCAUUUUGAAUUUGAUUAUUGUUUCACAUAAUUGUUCUUUGUGAAAUUAAUAUGAUAAUUUCAUGUUGGCAUUGAUACAUAGAAUUUGUAUUUAUACUCUUUGAAUUAGGUUGACGUAUGUAGUAUUUAUUUUAAUCUUUUAGAGAUGUAUAUGUUAAUGUAUCUUUGGAGCUUAGUAUUUAUUUUUGUUUUAGUGUUACAUGUACACUUAGAACCAUUUCGUUGGUAUGGUGUCACAUGUGUUGUGACAUUAUAUCUUUGUUAAGUAUAUCUGAGCUAUAACCACAUGUGAGAUACCACAAGUAUGUUCUCUUGGCACUAAAGCAUGACACCUUCCGUGGUGGUGUAAUCAAUUCACGACGUCUUUAUUUUGUGCUCCGAUGGAAGUGGUCAUAUAGCAAUUUUGUUGUGAGAGACGUAUGGGUAGGCCCUACUUUUCUAUUAUGUCAUGUUAUGUGGAUUGGUGAUGUUUGUGUCAAACACGCAUUCCAAUUUUGCAUGCAUUUAAAUUCACGGUCUAAUGUAUGUUACUUGCCUAUGUGACAUUAUUUGACUUACAUGUGUGGCAAGAUAUAUUCUGUUUUAUUUUGAACUCGGUAUAAAAUAAUACAAUCAUUUGAUUCAGUCUACUAAUUCGUUGUGAUAGUUUUGUUUAGUUCAGUUUAUGUUAAUUGAGUUAUUUGUUUCAGUUCAUUAUUUUUUUGCACUCUAUAUCCGUACUGAACAUGAAUCAUGCUGUGUUUUUUCCUUCCCGCAGGUAAUCAGAGAGAUGAAGGACAAGUGUGAUGAGAGCUCCGUUCUGGCUAAUGGUUUAAAUAUUUUGUUUAGGUUGUGAUAUUUUGAUUUAUUCGGAGUUGUAAUAAAUAUAUUAAAUUAUGGCAAAAAGCACUUUUACACCAUUGUGGUUGUAGUGUUUUAAGCAAUUAGUCAUUGUGUUUUAAAAAUAUUCAAUUGACCCACUGUGGUUUUAAAAAAUGUACAAUCAAGCCAUUCCGUCUAA
rnacentral:lncRNA from 1 species